UACAGAGGUGGCAAGCGUUGUUCGGAAUUACUGGGCGUAAAGGGCGCGUAGGCGGCCUUCUAAGUCGGACGUGAAAUCCCUCGGCUCAACCGAGGAACUGCGUCCGAUACUGGUGGGCUUGAAUCCGGGAGAGGGAUGUGGAAUUCCAGGUGUAGCGGUGAAAUGCGUAGAUAUCAGGAGGAACACCGGUGGCGAAGGCGGGGUCUCUGGGACGGUACUGACGCUGAGACGCGAAAGCGUGGGGAGCGAACAGG
rnacentral:rRNA from 1 species